rnacentral:lncRNA from 1 species
CAACAAAAACUUCAGAUUCAGACAGUCCUGAGUUCAAAUCCCAGCUCUGCCACCUACUAACUGUAACUUUGAGCAAGUGUAAAGUUUCCAGCACAGAGCCCAGCUGUCCGGAGUUGGUGACAUUUGGCGACGUGGUUGUGUAUGUCUCCCAGGAGACACGGAGGCAACCAGAACCUGGACAGAGGAACCACCUGGAAAGCUGGGGGAAAUCUGCAAAUGGGACCUCACUAGAUUUCCCAGCCCAUAGACCCGAUGUGAGCUCCCACGUGGAAGAGGAGGAAAGCCCAGAUCUCCAAAGCUCCCCAGAGAAGGAGAG